UCCACUGCCUUUAUGAUAAAGCUUAUUCAGA
rnacentral:piRNA from 1 species